AAAAAUAUGACAGAUUGAAACCUGGUAUAAGGAGUCUGAAGGGAUCUGAAUGAAAAGGGGGGCCCAGAAGACACAACUCAAGUAGGGAAGAGAGACAGGAAAUGUGAUGUUUCCAGUUCCCACCUCAAACUGUCAGAAAAUGACCCAGACAAAGUACCAGAAAGCAAUAGGAAGAAGGUGUUGAGGCAGAUGCUAAGACCCUGACUUGGGGGACAAGGACGACUUGGGAGUGAGGGGAUGGGAGAGUUUGAACUCUAGUGGUGAAAAGACUAAAAUGUGCGCUUGUGGCAAUCUCAGGGAUGGGGAGCAGGGGGUGUCACAGGGCCUUAGGGGGAUGGAAUUCCAGGACAGAGGGCUGAAACUUGGGCAGAGGGUUAGGGUGGGAGGGUCAAAGACCAGGGACAAGAUGGAAACCUUGGGAGGGUCUCAGGGAGGAGGGAGUAUUUGGGAUGAAGAGUCUCCAGGAUUUAACAGGAGGGCCUCUGGGAGGAGAGUCUAUAGCCCUCGGGGUGUCUGGUAAUGAGGGGGUCUAUAGGACUCAGGGUUCACAGACUGAAGAAAGUCUACAUGAUGAGGCAUCCCCAGGACCAAAGUAGAAGCCUCAGAAACAAGAGGCUCCACGACGAACAGCUUGGAAGCGGCUGCAGCUUGGAAGUGCUGUACAGCCCAGAGCGCACUGCUCUGGGAGCUGGUAACCCUGUUCUGGCGUGGAGCUACGAAGGCUACAUCAUCUGUACUCCCUUCUCAGACCUUCUUGGGGAAUAGCCCUCCUCCCCCCAUUUUUCCAGACUUUCCACAGGGAUCUCCUCUUCCCACCGUAGGGAACUUUCCCGCUGGAGCGGCCAUUAGCCCUUCUGGAAUCUUCUGAGGGACGUUGUGGAACUUUCCCCAGGAGUCCUCAUUCCUCUAACGAGACUUACCAGUUCUCGAACAUUCCCGCGGGAAUCAUCCAUCACCACUUCUAGAACCUUCCACAGGGGCUGCCCUUCUUUUCAGACCCUGGGGCUGCUGCUCACCCGCGCUCUCUCCGAACCCUGGUGGCCACACGCUCAGAAGUGAGGAAGUUCUAGAGGACAGAUCCACUGCAGCCCGCAGGGUUUCCCAUCAGCCCAAAAGCACAGCUGGAAAUCACUUGAUAGGAAUCUGCCCUCUGUCUGGAGGGAGUGGGGGAGUCUGCAAGGGAGGAGUGUUCAGAAUGCCUGGAGUCCUCAUUUGUGCUAAAAGACUGGAAGGCCUCUGCUGAAAGCUCUGUGACUCCUAGCUGGCCUCCAGGGAGCUGCACUCCUGUCGCCUGUGGUCAGGUGGAUGGAAAGGGGCCUGAUUUUACCCCAUCCCUGGGGCGUGGCUUCCUGCUGCACAGUCAGCUUUAGAUGCUGUGCCCUGUGCUGCUUCUGAGCACUGCAGGUGAGGUGUUGCCUCCAACUGACUGGAGCUUCAGCCUCUAGCAGUUUGUGCAGAGGAGGCUCCCCACUGAGUAGGAGGCAGAAUCCCACUGCUGACAGGGGAGAUGGAGCCUCCUCAGGGAGUGGGGCUGCUUGGGGUGAAGAAGCAGUGUGAUUGUCACCAGCUAGCAUGGGUCAUUGCUUUAGUGAUAGUGGAAAUUACAUGAGUUAACAGGCAGAAGCUUUAAUUGAUAAGUUUAUUACAGAAAAAGAAAUAAAGCUGACUGUCUUGUAGGCAGCUCCAGGAAGAGAUAGAGAAGUCUUCAUAGACAGCCCCUCACAACAGAUACACAUCAUUUUUAUGAUGUCUCAAAGUAAUGUCAUAAUUAUUCUUGGACAUUUUCUCAAAAGAGGCUGGGGUCUCUGUACAGGAUGAAAUUUUGUGCAGUGUGAGUUUGCACAGUGCCCACAAUGUGCUUGCAAAUGUGUUAUGUCACCCCUCUGAGUGGAGAUUUUAUGGAAAUGCAUUGUAAUGAAGGUAUAAAUGAAGUUUAGAUUGCUCUGUCAAAUCCAUUGCUGUCUUUGCUUGUACCAGCCUCAUCUAGUUUGUAUGAGCACACUACCUUCUUGUGCCAAGGACUACAGUGGCUUGCUCGCUUAAGUAAUAGCUUGAUUCACCUUCCCCCUCUUAUACCCAGAGUUGGGGAUGCCUACCUGUUCUUUCUCAGACUGCUAGUUCAAAGCCCUGCCAUUAUCCUUCUGUCUCAUCAGGACCCGAUGCAUUUACAGCAAAAACAGUGCAUGUGGGAUCUCUCAGGACAGUGCUUCAGAUGCAGGCUACCACCUGGGCCUGGGGAACAUUCCUGGAGCCAUAGUGGGCAUAUGAAGUCUCAGAUGAGGUUCUUCUGGGGCCUCCUGUUGCCUGUCAUCAGUUGAUGUCUUUGUGAUGCCAGGGCCAAGAAAGACUUGAUUCCAGAGUAGGAAUUCACUCCUAAUGACCUUGAGCCCUGCCUUCAUGUUUGGCUUCUAGCCUGCUCUGCACUGGUUCUCCUACUGGUCAUCUUGGCCCUUGUAGUGUCAUGUUGCUGGUGAAAACAGGUGCUACUUAAGUGGACAAUCACAAGAGUGUUUCACAAGUUGUAUUUGAGAUCCAGAGUACGUGGUUGAUACAGACAAAAACUUCAAGGUGUGGGAGGGACCUUGGAUUAAGUUGCCUUAUGAAUUAGCCCCAGGACUGACCAGGCUGCAUUCUAUCUGCUCGGGAGAAGUGACAGCAAUUUGUGUCAAAUGAAGGCAAAAGUGUAGCAAAGCUGGUAUAGGUACAACCUGAUUCACAGGCUCUCUGACCCAAGAAACUGCCAGCUCUGGGAAGGGGGAAUUUUAAGGUGGAGUGGGAAAAGACACGCCACCUUACUGCUGGGACACCUACGCCAGUGCUCAACCCAUGCCCAUGUUGAACUGUGGGGAGAGUUUGCUACUGCUUCUGCUGCUGCUGUCAUGGCUUCCCUCAGAAGUGACAGAAAAGCCUGAAAACCUCAACGACCCUUCUGACAAAGGCUAUCAGCUCUACGUGUCCUCAUAGCGCAUAUGCUGACUGCAUCCCUACUGCUGAGUCAGAGGCCUGAGAGAAAACCCUGUGCAACAGCUUUUGCAUUUGUAUACGUUUUCUGGGCACAGGGCCCUGUGCAAAUUCAGAGCAUCAGCAGCAAUAUAUGUCCCAGUUGGAAAAGUUGGGUCCUUAAAUCUCUCUUCAGCUCACAGAGUUCUGCUUUUUGUUGAGCAAGAUCAAUGAAACAGAGUUAUUUACUUCUCACUGUUUGAGGGAUGAUUCUGGUUGACACAGGGAAUUCCAGAGAAUUCCACAGUCUGACCUGGGUCCUGAAUUGGAGCUGGGUCUGCCUUAGGAUCAGUUAUAAAGAUAAGCACAGCUAAGCCUCUUUCUUCUUAUAGGCUGUCAGCAUAGUGUCAUCCACGUCCUGCUGGUGCUAUAGCUUGAAUGCAUGCACCCCUCCAAUAUUCCUGUGUUGAAACUUGACUCCUAAGGUGACAGCAUUAAAAAGUGAGCCCUUGAGAGGUGGUCAAGCCAGGAGGGCUCCUCUCUCAGGUGUGGGAUGAGUAGCUUGUCAAAGGGCUUGACGGGGUGAGUUCAGCCCUUCCAGCCCUCCUGCCAGUUGAAGACACCUCAGUGGUGCCAUCUAUGGUGAGCAGUCCUCACCAGCCACAAAGUCUGCCAGUGCUUUGUCUUGGACUUCCUGGUCUCCACCACUGUGAAAAACCGAUUUUUAAAAUUAAUUUAAUUGGUACAUUUUAUUGGUACAUUUUAGGUAUACAAUUCAUUUACAUUUAUCAUUGGCUGUUUGUACCUGUACAUGAUAUAUCUUGGUUCUUAUUUUUUUCCCCAUUACCUGUGCGCCCUUCA